rnacentral:rRNA from 1 species
AUUGAACGCUGGCGGCAUGCUUUACACAUGCAAGUCGAACGGUAACAGGCCUUCGGGUGCUGACGAGUGGCGAACGGGUGCGUAAUGCAUCGGAACGUGCCCAGAGGUGGGGGAUAACGCAGCGAAAGCUGUGCUAAUACCGCAUGUGAUCUGAGGAUGAAAGCGGGGGACCAAGCAGCAAUGUUUGGCCUCGCGCCUCUGGAGCGGUCGAUGUCGGAUUAGGUAGUUGGUGGGGUAAAGGCCUACCAAGCCGACGAUCUGUAGCUGGUCUGAGAGGACGACCAGCCACACUGGGACUGAGACACGGCCCAGACUCCUACGGGAGGCAGCAGUGGGGAAUUUUGGACAAUGGGCGCAAGCCUGAUCCAGCAAUGCCGCGUGCGGGAAGAAGGCCUUCGGGUUGUAAACCGCUUUUGUACGGAACGAAAAGGCUCUGGCUAAUACCUGGGGCUGAUGACGGUACCGUAAGAAUAAGCACCGGCUAACUACGUG